UACAGAGGUCCCGAGCGUUGUUCGGAUUCAUUGGGCGUAAAGGGUGCGUAGGUGGCGCUGUAAGUGGGGUGUGAAAUCCCGGGGCUUAACCCCGGGACUGCAUUCCAUACUGCGGUGCUUGAGGACUGGAGAGGAGACUGGAAUUUACGGUGUAGCAGUGAAAUGCGUAGAGAUCGUAAGGAAGACCAGUGGCGAAGGCGGGUCUCUGGACAGUUCCUGACACUGAGGCACGAAGGCCAGGGGAGCAAACGGG
rnacentral:rRNA from 3 species